GUCCCGAGCGCGCACGCAGGCCACACGCAGGGCACGCACGACCGGCGGGGCCAGCGCUCCCAACCGUCUUUGUCCCCGCCCCGAUCGCGUCGUCUCGCGAGAGUUGGGAGUAAACAGCCCCGAAUGGAGAGCCGAGGCGUGUUCGCUGCGGAGGCGCCGUUAUCCCGGGCCCGGCGGACCCGAGCUUGAGGCGGCCGCAGGAAGUCUUUUGGUUUCCUAUUGCUACUGUGACAAAUUUCUACAAACUUAAUGGCUUAAAACAACACGAAUUGCUUACUUACGGUUCUGGAGGUGCGUCGUCCAGAGUCGGCCUCCCUGGGCUGAAGGUAAGCUGUCGGCAGGGCGUCCGUCCUUCUGGAAGUUCUGAGGGGAGUCUGUUUGCUUCCCUUUUUCAGUUUCCUGAGGUGGCUGCACUCCUUGGCUCCUGACCUCCUCCCCUGCUUACUGCAGCCUCCUGCGUCCAUCACAUCUGCUACUGCCCCCUCACAACGCCUGCCUCCCUCUUGUGAGGACUCUUGUAAUUACCUUGGACCCACCUGGAUAAUCCAGGAUGCUCUCCCCAUCUCGAGAUUCUUAGUUUAAUUACACCUGCAAAGUCCCUUU
rnacentral:lncRNA from 1 species